GGGUUGUGAGGUUAAGCGACUAAGCGUACACGGUGGAUGCCCUGGCAGUCAGAGGCGAUGAAGGACGUGCUAAUCUGCGAUAAGCGUCGGUAAGGUGAUAUGAACCGUUAUAACCGGCGAUUUCCGAAUGGGGAAACCCAGUGUGAUUCGUCACACUAUCAUUAACUGAAUCCAUAGGUUAAUGAGGCGAACCGGGGGAACUGAAACAUCUAAGUACCCCGAGGAAAAGAAAUCAACCGAGAUUCCCCCAGUAGCGGCGAGCGAACGGGGAGCAGCCCAGAGCCUGAAUCAGUGUGUGUGUUAGUGGAAGCGUCUGGAAAGGCGCGCGAUACAGGGUGACAGCCCCGUACACAAAAAUGCACAUA
rnacentral:rRNA from 1 species